rnacentral:rRNA from 1 species
GACGAACGCUGGCGGCGUGCCUAAUACAUGCCAGUCGAACGCACAGUUUAUACCGUAGCUUGCUACACCAUAGACUGUGAGUUGCGAACGGGUGAGUAACGCGUAGGUAACCUGCCUGGUAGCGGGGGAUAACUAUUGGAAACGAUAGCUAAUACCGCAUAAUAUUAAUUAUUGCAUGAUAAUUAAUUGAAAGGUGCAAUUGCACCACUACCAGAUGGACCUUCGUUGUAUUAGCUAGUAGGUGAGGUAACGGCUCACCUAGGCGACGAUACAUAGCCGACCUGAGAGGGUGGUCGGCCACACUGGGACUGAGACACGGCCCAGACUCCUACGGGGGGCAGCAGUAGGGAAUCUUCGGCAAUGGACGAAAGACUGACCGGGCAACGCCGCGUGAGUGAAGAAGGUUUUCGGAUCGUAAAGCUCUGUUGUAAGAGAAGAACGGGUGUGAGAGUGGAAAGUUCACACUGUGACGGUAUCUUACCAGAAAGGGACGGCUAACUACGUG